rnacentral:rRNA from 1 species
GACGAACGCUGGCGGCGUGCUUAACACAUGCAAGUCGAACGGAAAGGCCCUGCUAUUGUGGGGUGCCCGAGUGGCGAACGGGUGAGUAACACGUGAGUAACCUGCUCUUGACUUUGGGAUAACUUCAGGAAACUGGGGCUAAUAUCGGACAGGAGCUCCUGCAGCAUGGUGGGGGUUGGAACGUUUCGGCGGUUGGGGAUGGAUUCGCGGCUUACCAGCUUGUUGGUGGGGUAGUGGCUUACCAAGGAUUUGACGGGUAGCCGGCCUGAGAGGGUGACCGGCCACAUUGGGACUGAGAUACGGCCCAGACUCCUACGGGGGGCAGCAGUGGGGAAUAUUGCACAAUGGGCCGAAGCCUGAUGCAGCAACGCCGCGUGCGUGAUGACGGCCUUCGGGUUGUAAACCGCUUUCGCCUGUGACGAAGCGUGAGUGACGGUAAUGGGUAAAGAAGCACCGGCUAACUACGUG